AAUAUCGUUUCUUUAAUACCUAUAAUAAAUCGAACCGAUUUGAAAAUAGGCGUCGUGAAAUUUUCGUAAGGCUUUUUUCUUUUUCCGCCCAUAAAUUAUAAUCCCGCCCGUCGUUGCCACAAUAACACCGCUGCAGUGUAGAGUGUUUCGUUUUCUCAAUAUCCACACGUAGACGAUUUAAAAAAAAUUUCUUGUGAAAAUCAUCGUAAGGUAUCUCAAACGGUCACUGAACAUAAUAUAGGUACCGAGGUUGGCUACAGUGACCAUAUUAAGAACGUUUUUCUAUUAACAUCUGACUUAACCUAUCUACUAAAAACCCUUACCAUG